GAAUAUUGGACAAUGGGCGAAAGCCUGAUCCAGCCAUGCCGCGUGUGUGAAGAAGGUCUUCGGAUUGUAAAGCACUUUAAGUUGGGAGGAAGGGCAGUAAGCGAAUACCUUGCCGUUGUGACGUUACCGACAGAGUAAGCACCGGCUAACUCUGGGCCAGCAGCCGCGGUAAUACAGAGGGUUCACGCGUUAAUCGGAAUCACUGGGCGUAACGCGCGCGUAGGUGGUUCGUUACGUUGGAUGUGAAAUCCCCGGGCUCACCCUGGGAACUGCAUCCAAAACUGGCGAGCUAGAGUAGGGCAGAGGGUGGUGGAAUUUCCUGUGUAGCGGUGAAAUGCGUAGAUAUAGGAAGGAACACCAGUGGCGAAGGCGACCACCUGGGCUCAUACUGACACUGAGGUGCGAAAGCGUGGGGAGCAAACA
rnacentral:rRNA from 1 species